GUUGUCCAAGAAAGGAAUUUCAGUUCAACAUUAAACAAUACUAAAAACCACAUUAAGUUUCAACGUAUGUUUAACUGUUAGUCUAAAAAGGUACAGCUUUUUAGAAACGGAUACAACCUUUACUAGAGAGUAACAUAAAACUUAAACCAUAGUUGGCCUAAAAGCAGCCACCAAUUAAGAAAGCGUUCAAGCUCAACAACAAAAACAAGUUUUAAUUUCAACAAUAAAUAAAACAACUCCUAGCCUGACUAUUGGACUAAUCUAUUCAACUAUAGAAGAAAUACUGUUAAUAUGAGUAACAAGAAAAAUUUUCUCCUCGCACAAGCCUAUAUCAGUAACUGAUAGUAUGCUGAUAGUUAACAACCAAUAAAUAUAACCCAACACUAAAUUAUUUAUUAAUCAUACUGUUAACCCAACACAGGUGUGCACUAAGGAAAGAUUAAAAGGAGUAAAAGGAACUCGGCAAACACAAACCCCGCCUGUUUACCAAAAACAUCACCUCUAGCAUAACUAGUAUUAGAGGCACUGCCUGCCCAGUGACAAUCGUUAAACGGCCGCGGUAUCUUG
rnacentral:rRNA from 1 species